rnacentral:rRNA from 1 species
GGCCCGCUUAACACAUGCAAGUCGAGGGGCAGCAUUCCUUUUUGCUUGCAAACUGGAGAUGGCGACCGGCGCACGGGUGAGUAACACGUAUCCAACCUGCCGAUAACUCGGGGAUAGCCUUUCGAAAGAAAGAUUAAUACCCGAUGGUAUAAUCAGACCGCAUGGUCUUGUUAUUAAAGAAUUUCGGUUAUCGAUGGGGAUGCGUUCCAUUAGGCAGUUGGUGAGGUAACGGCUCACCAAACCUUCGAUGGAUAGGGGUUCUGAGAGGAAGGUCCCCCACAUUGGAACUGAGACACGGUCCAAACUCCUACGGGAGGCAGCAGUGAGGAAUAUUGGUCAAUGGGCGCAGGCCUGAACCAGCCAAGUAGCGUGAAGGAUGACUGCCCUAUGGGUUGUAAACUUCUUUUAUAUGGGAAUAAAGUUUUCCACGUGUGGAAUUUUGUAUGUACCAUAUGAAUAAGGAUCGGCUAACUCUGUGCCAGCAGCCGCGGUAAUACGGAGGAUCCGAGCGUUAUCCGGAUUUAUUGGGUUUAAAGGGAGCGUAGGUGGACAGUUAAGUCAGUUGUGAAAGUUUGCGGCUCAACCGUAAAAUUGCAGUUGAUACUGGCUGUCUUGAGUACAGUAGAGGUGGGCGGAAUUCGUGGUGUAGCGGCGAAAUGCUUAGAUAUCACGAAGAACUCCGAUUGCGAAGGCAGCUCACUGGACUGCAACUGACACUGAUGCUCGAAAGUGUGGGUAUCAAACAGGAUUAGAUACCCUGGUAGUCCACACAGUAAACGAUGAAUACUCGCUGUUUGCGAUAUACAGUAAGCGGCCAAGCGAAAGCAUUAAGUAUUCCACCUGGGGAGUACGCCGGCAACGGUGAAACUCAAAGGAAUUGACGGGGGGCCCGCACAAGCGGAGGAACAUGUGGUUUAAUUCGAUGAUACGCGAGGAACCUUACCCGGGCUUAAAUUGCAUUUGAAUAUAUUGGAAACAGUAUAGCCGUAAGGCAAAUGUGAAGGUGCUGCAUGGUUGUCGUCAGCUCGUGCCGUGAGGUGUCGGCUUAAGUGCCAUAACGAGCGCAACCCUUAUCUUUAGUUACUAACAGGUCAUGGUGAGGACUCUAGAGAGACUGCCGUCGUAAGAUGUGAGGAAGGUGGGGAUGACGUCAAAUCAGCACGGCCCUUACGUCCGGGGCUACACACGUGUUACAAUGGGGGGUACAGAAGGCAGCUACCUGGUGACAGGAUGCUAAUCCCAAAAGCCUCUCUCAGUUCGGAUCGAAGUCUGCAACCCGACUUCGUGAAGCUGGAUUCGCUAGUAAUCGCGCAUCAGCCAUGGCGCGGUGAAUACGUUCCCGGGCCUUGUACACACCGCCCGUCAAGCCAUGAAAGCCGGGGGUACCUGAAGUACGUAACCGCAAGGAGCGUCCUAGGGUAAAACUGGUAAUUGGGGCUAAG